UCUUCCUCCUCUUCGUUCUCUCCGCGUGUCCCGUGCUCUCUCGAUCCUCUCAUCUCUUCUCGAGGGCUCCCGUCGAAUCCGGUGCCACCGCCCACCGUCGUAGGUGACUAUAAAAAGAUCCUUCUCCCCGACGGUCCCUACCUCAACUCCUUCCCACCCCAUCCCUCUCCUCCGCCCCCGCCAUCUUCUCUCGGUGUGGCCAUAUGGCAUAUGGGAAGCGGGCAUGGAGGGCACGGCUGGGGCGGGGCCACCAGGGGCAGCCAUCUCCAUCACCGCAUCAUGAUUCCGUCUCGGAGCAGCAGCGGAGGCGAUGUUCCGGCAUCCUCUUUCCCAACCGUCGAGGAGGACUGCCGCGGCUCUUUCCAUGGGGCUUCCGAGAUGUUGACCGGGUUCUUGCACCGGCGGCUGCCUGAGAGGGACGCCCAGAGAUACAUGGCCUUGAAUUGGACCAUCACCAGCAUCUGACCCUCUUCGUGGUGGCCAUGAGGUAGGGCGUCGUCGAGACCCAGUCCCGCAAGUUGCAGUUCACCUGAUUCGAUUGGUUCUUUAUUAUUUUGUACACAAGAAGACACGUUCCCAUGAUGAAGUUGAGUAUGUAUGCACAAGCCUCACCUUACGUGAGAGGAAUUGUGUACCAUAUGGUGUGGAUACGACUCGAGGGUUCGUUUUUUGAAUCCCAGGCUGAUGUUUUACUCUGCCUUUCUUAGUUUAUGGGAGUUAUUUGAUUCCAUAUAGACCUCACAAUCGACUGUCGAUUUUCUUCGCUUUGGAGCUUUUGACAAGGAAUAUUAAUGUUUCAACAUGUCACUAUAUAUGUUGGUUAUGUAAGUGCAUAUGGACUACAAAAGGUGAACUCACAUGAGUAUUACUCGACUUGUUGUUGUGAGCGUAAAAUACUGCGGGUUGGUUGUCGCAGUACAUCUUUAAUGGUUUGUGAAUACAAUCUACCAUUUUCAAGUCGGGUACAAAUUUCUUUAGCCAUAUCGCCUGCCCUGUGGCUUCGAAGCAUGCUAUGAAUUUUGCAUACAUUGUGGAUGAUGCAACUAUCGACUGUUUGGAGCUUUUCCGCGAAAUAGCUCCCCAACAAGAGUAAAGACGUACCCUGAUGUGGAUUUUCUAUCAUCUCUGUCCCCCACAAAAUCUGUGUUUGAAUAUUCUUUUAUCUUUAGAGAAUCACUUCUCCUGUAUAUUAGCAUGUAGUCCUUCGUGCCUUGCGCAUAACACAAUGCUUUCUUUAUCAUCUUCCAGUGCUCCAUGCCUGGAUUCUCUUGAUAUCUAUCGAGUAUCCCGGUGAUAAAAAUUAAGUCAGGGCGAGUGCACACUUGUGCAUACUGUAAGCUGCCAACUGCCAAAGCAUAUGGUACUGCUUUCAUUUGAUCGAUCUCGUACUGAUUCUUGGGACAUUGGAAUUUUCCCAAAACUAUCAUCCUUAAUUAUAGGAGCUGGUGGGGCUUUA